UUAUAUACGUUAGGGAUAGCAGUGUUAUCCUUUUUUAUUUUUUAUAAAAAAGAUUUAACGUAUAGCCCGACACAAA
rnacentral:sRNA from 1 species